UGGGGAAUAUUGCACAAUGGGGGAAACCCUGAUGCAGCAACGCCGCGUGAGUGAUGACGGCCUUCGGGUUGUAAAGCUCUGUCUUCAGGGACGAUAAUGGCGGUACCUGAGGAGGAAGCCACGGCUAACUACGUGCCAGCAGCCGCGGUAAUACGUAGGUGGCAAGCGUUGUCCGGAUUUACUGGGCAUAAAGGGAGCGUAGGCGGACUUUUAAGUGAGAUGUGAAAUACCCGGGCUCGACCUGGGUGCUGCAUUUCAAACUGGAAGGCUAGAGUGCAGGAGAGGAGAGUGGAAUUCCUAGUGUAGCGGUGAAAUGCGUAGAGAUUAGGAAGAACACCAGUGGCGAAGGCGACUCUCUGGACUGUAACUGACG
rnacentral:rRNA from 1 species